GAUCCAGACUCCUACGGGAGGCAGCAGUGGGGAAUAUUGCACAAUGGGGGGAACCCUGAUGCAGCGACGCCGCGUGGGUGAAGGAGCCCCUCGGUGCGUAAAGCCCUAUCGGCAGGGAAGAAACAGACGGUACCUGACUAAGAAGCCCCGACUAACUACGUGCCAGCAGCCGCGGGAAUACGUAGGGGGCAAGCGUUAUCCGGAUUCACUGGGUGUAAAGGGAGCGCAGGCGGCACGGCAAGCCUGAUGUGAAAGCCCGCGGCCCAACCGCGGGACUGCAUUGGGAACUACCGGGCUGGAGUGCCGGAGAGGUAGGCGGAAUUCCUAGUGUAGCGGUGAAAUGCGUAGAUAUUAGGAGGAACACCAGUGGCGAAGGCGGCCUACUGGACGGUGACUGACGCUCAGGCACGAAAGCAUGGGUAGCAAACAGGAUUAGAUACCCCGGUAG
rnacentral:rRNA from 1 species